UACAGAGGCCUCAAGCGUUGUUCGGAUUCAUUGGGCGUAAAGGGUGCACAGGCGGUCGGGUAAGUCGGAUGUGAAAUCCCGGGGCUCAACCUCGGAACUGCAUUCGAUACUGCCUGGCUGGAGGAUUGGAGAGGAGAGUGGAAUUCACGGUGUAGCAGUGAAAUGCGUAGAGAUCGUGAGGAAGACCAACGGCGAAGGCAGCUCUCUGGACAAUUCCUGACGCUGAGGCACGAAGGCCAGGGGAGCAAACGGG
rnacentral:rRNA from 1 species